UCUCUGUUUCUUUCCAUCUUCUUAUUUUCUUUCUCCGGCAGCAACACACACAAGCUUUUCUCUCCAUCCAUAUCACCAUCAAUAUUUACUUCACCACAUAUUCAUUACCAGCACCAAUUCCUUCUUCUUGGCAACGUACAGCACCUCACCGACCUCACCAUUUCAUUCAUUUCCUCCUUAUUUCUUAAGAGAGGCCGUGAGCAAGGAGGAAGUGGAGAUUCUAGCUCCGUUUCGUCGUUUCUUGACCGAUCGUCGCACUGACAGUUGCUACGCGUAGACCUCGAGGUUCGUUUGUGGAAACCAUGGACUUGACUGAGCAAGCUUGUGAGUGUGACUUACACUGUGAUUCUAGAGGAACUAGAUAUGCCGUUGACGGAUUGUUUCGUGAUGCUUCGUCGUUCGGGGAAGACCCGGAGCGAAAUGACUACUACUGAGCCUUCGGCGUGGACCCGGACUUCAUGCAGGAUCGAAUGAGGGUCGAUGUUAGGGGUGUAGUAUAUCGGAUGUCGUUGUCAUAGCUCUGAUUGUCAUUUCUUAUUGUGGGGCAGGGUAGGUCCCCGACUAUUAGCUUGUUGUGUGGUUCUCUUCCAUGAGGAUCACAUAUAGUUUGUCGGACAUAGGAGGUCUUUUGGAGGCCGUUCUGGACUGACUUACUUUCUUGGAGGACUGUAUUUAUAUGGUUAUGACUCUGACUAUGGGUCGCACUUAUUUGCCUACGGGCACGACUUUCAGUUACUUUCCGUCACUUGUGGCACUUGUGACGAUGUUUUUAGUUGCAGCGAGGGCUGUACUUAUAUUGUAUGUUAGUCGCUGUUAAUCGCGAUUGGG